CCAUCAGGCUGUAGGAGGAUCCAUUGUGUCUUCCAUCACAGCAAACCUCGUAAUAUAAAUGGACUUUUUCUGCCACCUAGUAACAAUGUCGCAUUGCAGGAGGAGGUCCGAGAAGGGAUUCUGAAUCCAGCCUAUGGUCAAGAAUCAUUCAGAAAUCAGGAGAAUUUUGUAAUACCAAUUCACCCUCCACUGAUUAUAAACAUCAACGACCAAGAGGAUGAAGAAGAGGAUGAAGAAGAGGAUGAAGAGGAGGUUGAAGACAAAGAGAACAAUGAUUUUAAGACUGCUUCAGACCUUGAAGAGGAAAGAGCAAUUAAGGAAAUAUGCUAUAAAUCUGGAGAGUAUUAUAGGAUUCAACACCCGCAGGAACACCAAUCA